rnacentral:sRNA from 1 species
AAUGUCAUAGUUUGGAUUGGAUUCAGGCCAAUUAACCUGUGCUGAGGGACUUGCGCAAGAUUUUUCCAGGCUUAGGAGCUAACCUCGAUCAGAUCUUUCCAGGACACUUAAGGAGAACUUGAAGGUCAAGAGUCUCUGGAAGAGAAGUGUUCAGACUGAGAAGGUGUGCCAGAGGAUCAGUCAGUCCUCAGGUAUACCUUCAAAGCAACUACUUCCUAUUUCUACCUCCUUGAGAAAGGCACAAAAUAUCCCCAUCUACAUCCUGUUUUGGUACCAGACUGAUGAAGAAGAAACUAAAAAGAAAGGACAGUUGGCCAACAGAAAAGUGCCAUGGAAGCGACAGAGCCAUGCUCUAAUAGAUCAAGUACAAGGCAGAUGAAGACUUGCUCCAGAUCCUUCACUGUUCAAAGGCUAAGAUGUUCUGAUGACGAGUUUCUAAUAGCUACAGCAGGCAUCCCAAACAGUUUAUUCUCCAGCAGAUUGCAGACGGAUAAAUUCUGACUCUGUCAUGCCACAAUGGUGAAAAAACCAUAGGAGGCAAACAGGACCUGAAUAUUCAGAGGACUGGAUGAAUAACACACACAUGGGGGAAUGGUAAUUAACACCCAUGGACAGAGACCCAGUGAACGACGGAGGAUACAGCAGUGCUUAGAGGGAGAAGAUGUAAGUAGAUAGAAAAAUUUAAAUGACAGAUAUGAAUCUCAUUGUGUUUUCCUGGAGAGCACAGCUGCUUGUGGUUCUGAUGUGUCUUAAGGUUUUACUGCUGUGAACAG